rnacentral:rRNA from 3 species
CAUGCAAGUCGAGCGGUAGCACAGAGAGCUUGCUCUCGGGUGACGAGCGGCGGACGGGUGAGUAAUGUCUGGGAAACUGCCUGAUGGAGGGGGAUAACUACUGGAAACGGUAGCUAAUACCGCAUAAUGUCGCAAGACCAAAGUGGGGGACCUUCGGGCCUCAUGCCAUCAGAUGUGCCCAGAUGGGAUUAGCUAGUAGGUGGGGUAACGGCUCACCUAGGCGACGAUCCCUAGCUGGUCUGAGAGGAUGACCAG